CCCUUAGAUGUUCUGGGCCGCACGCGCGCUACACUGACGAAUGCAACGAGCUUAUAACCUUGGCCGAAAGGUCUGGGUAAUCUCCAAAUUUCGUCGUGAUGGGGAUAGAUUAUUGCAAUUAUUAAUCUUCAACGAGGAAUGCCUAGUAAGCGCGAGUCAUCAGCUCGCGUUGAUUACGUCCCUGCCCUUUGUACACACCGCCCGUCGCUCCUACCGAUUGAAUGGUCCGGUGAAAUGUUCGGACCGCGACAAGGCGGACGGUUCGCUGUCAGCUUUGCUGCGGGAAGUUCAUUAAACCUUAUCAUUUAGAGGAAGGAGAAGUCGUAACA
rnacentral:rRNA from 1 species